rnacentral:rRNA from 1 species
UCCGUAGGCGGGCGAUUAAGUCAGAGGUGAAAUCCCACAGCUCAACUGUGGAACUGCCUUUGAUACUGGUUGUCUUGAGUUACAGUGAAGUAGAUAGAAUAUGUAGUGUAGCGGUGAAAUGCAUAGAUAUUACAUAGAAUACCGAUUGCGAAGGCAGUCUACUAACUAACAACUGACGCUAAUGGACGAAAGCGUGGGGAGCGAACAGGAUUAGAUACCCUGGUAGUC